rnacentral:rRNA from 1 species
GUUAGAGGUGAAAUUCAUGGAUCGGUAAAAGACUAACAACUGCGAAAGCAUUUAUCUAGGAUUUGCUCUUUGAUCAAGAACGAAAGUUGGGGGAUCGAAGACGAUCAGAUACCGUCGUAGUCUCAACUAUAAACUAUACCAGCUAGGGAUUGGUGGUGUUUGCUUGACCUCAUCAGAACCUUAUGAGAAAUCAAAGCAUUUGGGUUCCGGGGGGAGUAUGGUCGCAAGGCUGAAACUUAAAGGAAUUGACGGAAGGGCACCACGAGUUGUGGAUCCUGUGGCUUAAUUUGACUCAACACGGGAAAAACUUACCAG